GUCGCCUCGUGGUCUAGUGGUCUGGAUGCUUGCCUGGAAAGCGAGAGGCGUGGGUUCGAUUCCCACCGACGUAACA